CCUAUUUUUUCGACCAGUUUUGUGGUCAAUAUGUUCAAAUUUUAUUUGGCAAACCAAUUCUGUAAUUAACUAAUUCAAUUAAAACUCUGUAGUUUAAUCUAUAGAUUUUUUACUCUUUAUUUUUGAAUUAAUAUAUCCUAUUUCGCUCCU
ensembl:ncRNA ZC487.6 ncRNA